GGAAACAGCCAGGAAUCGUCUGUCGAGAUAUACACAAGGAUCCCAAGUUGGAUCAUCAGUUGUCUCGGGGAAAGUCUCCGGCGAAAGAAGGCGGCAACGUCGGCGAACCGUUCAGUGUUCGUCUCUGUUAGUGUUGGACAUGAUUUGGAGGUGGGAUGACUUGUUGGCCAAUACCCGGUCCUGCAUUCAGUUGGACAAGUUGUUCUUCUCCGUCAUAUCAAGUCUCAUAUAACGGAUUCUACGUUGAUGUACACUAUACGUGUCUCGGCGUCUACUCGCAGAGUUUAUUCCGCACAGUAUGGUUGCCAUACUAACGAUGGAUAUGAUGAUUGCUAAGUUUAGUCAAAUAAACUUUGUAACCCAAUGGAGCUCAUCUGUCUGUUUC
rnacentral:RNase_MRP_RNA from 1 species